AGUAACGCGUGAGCAAUCUGCCUUUAANAGGGGGAGUAACAGUCGGAAACGGCUGCUAAUACCGCAUAAAGCAUCAAAUUCGCAUGUUUUUGAUGCCAAAGGAGCAAUCCGCUUUUAGAUGAGCUCGCGUCUGAUUAGCUGGUUGGCGGGGUAACGGCCCACCAAGGCGACGAUCAGUAGCCGGACUGAGAGGUUGAACGGCCACAUUGGGACUGAGACACGGCCCAGACUCCUACGGGAGGCAGCAUG
rnacentral:rRNA from 1 species